GGGCCCGCACAAGCGGUGGAGUAUGUGGUUUAAUUCGAUGCAACGCGAAGAACCUUACCAGGGUUUGACAUCCUGCGAAUCUCUUGGAAACGAGAGAGUGCCUUCGGGAGCGCAGUGACAGGUGGUGCAUGGCUGUCGUCAGCUCGUGUCGUGAGAUGUUGGGUUAAGUCCCGCAACGAGCGCAACCCACGUCUUUAGUUGCCAGCAUUUAGUUGGGCACUCUAGAGAGACUGCCGGUGAUAAACCGGAGGAAGGUGUGGAUGACGUCAAGUCAUCAUGCCCCUUACAUCCUGGGCUACACACGUACUACAAUGCUACGGACAAAGGGCUGCAAGUUCGCGAGGACAAGCAAAUCCCAUAAACCGGUCUCAGUUCGGAUCGGGGUCUGCAACUCGGCCCCGUGAAGCUGGAAUCGCUAGUAAUCGGAUAU
rnacentral:rRNA from 1 species